AGAGUUCAAGAGGCACAAGAACCCUCCUGUGCCUUCUAAGGGCCUUUUCUGUACAUUGUUCUAGCAAAUCCUUUUUUUAAAAAAAUUAAUUUAUUUUUUUUAACUGAAGGAUAAUUGCUUUACAGAAUUUUGUUGUUUUCUGUCAUGAGACUCUGGAGAGAGACAGGAUAAGCUUCCUCUCCAAGCUGCGGGCUUCUUUUUGUCCAGCAUCCUGCCUCAGUGCCUUCUGGACAGUUGGGGAGGGGGAACCUCCCCCUCUUCCUUGCCACCACUGCUCCCCCACCAGCCACCAGCCGGCCUGGCUCCAGGGGGCUGCACACACACAAGCUGAACUGUUGAGAGCUUUGGAUUGAAAUCAUCAUUCCUCAUCUUUCCAACUGCCAGAGCAGCCUUCUAAAAUACAGCCACGUGAAAAGAGAACAAGUAGAAAUUUAGCUGUUUAUAAUCCAGGUUUCCUUUUUCUCCAACCAGCUCCCCCGACCCACCAGUGCCUUUUUAUUUUAAAAAACAAACCACUAAAUCCUCUCUAGAACUGACAGGAGAAAAGUGAGGUUGGAAACCUGAGCUUGCCGCGUCUGCCUCUGCAAGCAGUGGUGCGUGUUUCCUCUGUGAGAAACCUCCCUGAAACUUCUGAAGCCAGGAUGUCCUGGCUGGCAGCUGUGAGGAAGGCGUGGGGACUGGAUUCAGGGAUGGGGGGAGGGGAAGCACUUUCUGGGCAGCCCUGGGCGACUUGCCGCCCUGAGAGGUCUUAUGGGGGAAAUUCCUUCAGGGCUCUUCUGCUGCCCCCAGCCCUUGUCUCUCGUGCACACACUUGCUUAUUCCAUUCUCCUUGUUUUCAUUUUCUAGUCCAAGGCAAUUCAGCAAAUAGUGAAGUGUUCCUGCUACUUGUCGACAUCUUCCUCAGCAUUGGGAACCUGCAUCUGGACAUUUUAAUAACAAUUUCUGAAUCAGGAAGUGUAGCUUUACUCAGUUUGGCAGAGGAAUCAAAGGAAGACUACUACAACGUACAUUUACAUUGGAAGGUGUCACCAAGUGGAUUCAUUUUGCUGACCUACAGGACCCUUGCUGAUGGAAUGAGGCAGAGUUUGUGAAUCUCCCAGGGCUCUGCUUUGGAAAUGAAUACAGGUGGGCCUAACCAUCACCCACAUCUACUUCAGCAUUCCUGACAAGCAGAUUUACAUGAAGCCUUGGUUUGAAUACCCCUCCUUGUGGGACCUCACUACCUCAGAGCACAGACCAUUGUAUGCUCACGAGCCGAGAUCAUCCGCAGUCCCCCUUGUGAGUCUACAAUCUGUGUCUGUGUUGGAACCACCCUUGAGCCCUGGCCAAACCUCUGGGCCGCAUGGAGGAGCUUGUUUUGUAUCAGUGUCCUUCAGAAUAGGAAAAAUUCAAUAGCAGCAAAUAAACACAUUAAAGCAAUUUUCCCUAUUAAAGUG
ensembl:lncRNA